rnacentral:rRNA from 1 species
UACGUAGGGGGCAAGCGUUGUCCGGAUUUAUUGGGCGUAAAGAGCGUGUAGGCGGCCAGGUAGGUCAGCUGUGAAAACUCGAGGCUCAACCUCGAGACGUCGGUUGAAACCACCUGGCUAGAGUCCGGAAGAGGAGAGUGGAAUUCCUGGUGUAGCGGUGAAAUGCGCAGAUAUCAGGAGGAACACCAAUGGCGAAGGCAGCACUCUGGGACGUGACUGACGCUGAGACGCGAAAGCGUGGGGGGCAAACAGG